AUUUUAAGCUCCAAAUACAGAACUCAAGAGAAACAUCAAAAGGAAAACCAAGAUUAUCUACGGUUUACCUACUGGCAAGAGUUUCCUGGUAUGCAGAAAAUGAAACAUCCUAGCAGCCAACACUUGCUUAGUCAAUAUUCAUUACAAAAAUAAGAAGUCAGCAUACUUGUACAAUAUAAUAGUCUCGACAUUUGGCUAUGCUCUUCAAGGUAACCACUGUGCAGGGGAUGAAGAUGACCAACAGUUUCAAUGACAGUAAUACCUAUACUUCUAGAAAUGUCCACUUCUGAGGCCCAGGGCUGAUAAGGGUGAUUGAACACAGGAAAAGGCAGAACACAAGUCUGGGACAAACCCAACCAAAGUACAGUGACACUGAAUAUGGGCUCUCAAUUAUGAACUGUGUAUAUAUCAUUCAAGGAUCAACCCAGGUGUUUCCAGAGGAUUACCAGCAGAGGACAAGUGAUGAGGUCUUGUGGAUUUGAGAAUAUGAAUAUGAGAGAACUCUUAAAGGAAAGAAGAUGCAGGGAUGCGAGCUCAUGGACUGUAAGGCUGACCGGUCCAUAGGAUGUUGUGAAAUCAAAAAAUAUUGGAAUUAUUCUCCGAAAUUGUGUGCUUUGGGCAGUCUGAUAGAAGGUCCACAGCAAACAAACAAACUUUGAAGAUUCUGCUUUAUGCUGACAGACACUUUGCCUACAAGAUUUCAUCCUCUGUUUCUUCUAUGUCAUAUAAAAGAAUUUCUCAGAAAAUCCUUGAAAUUUCACAUGGUGAAAAGAAAGUGGGUAUUUCUCCACAGUGAGAAUCAGUUAAUCAAUAAACAUGUAGCCAUACUUGUUUUUAUGUGAGUCACUGUACUAAAUGAGGAAGAUAGUCCGAAUGUCUAUUCUAAGAGGGAGGAUGAAAAGUACAUAAAUUAGAAUAUGCCAGAUAAAUACAGAGUAUAUAAAAUAACAUCAGAAUGCAUAAUUCUAAUGGAACAAUAAGACUAUCAGAAGAGU